CCGAGUGCGGGUCCCGAACUUACUUCGGGGCCCUACCUCCGACCCGUGACUACCGAACCUCUGUUGCUUCGGCGUGUUGGCCUCGUCCCACGAGGCGGCGCCGGAGACCUUCUCCUGAACGCUUAUUUAUUUUGAAGGGAAUUGCAGUCUGAGUCGAAACGAUACAAAUCGGUUA
rnacentral:misc_RNA from 1 species